GAGAAUACCAAGGAGAUCGAGAGAACUGUGGUUAAGGAACUCGGCAAAAUGCCCCCGUAACUUCGGGAGAAGGGGGACCUCGUCUGGUGAUGAUCUUUACGGUCGGAGCUGGGUGGGGUCGCAGAGACCAGAGAGAAGCGACUGUUUACUAAAAACACAGGUCCAUGCGAAGUCGUAAGACGAUGUAUAUGGACUGACGCCUGCCCGGUGCUGGAAGGUUAAGAGGACCGGUUAGCCGUAAGGCGAAGCUGAGAAUUUAAGCCCCAGUAAACGGCGGUGGUAACUAUAACCAUCCUAAGGUAGCGAAAUUCCUUGUCGGGUAAGUUCCGACCUGCACGAAUGGCGUAACGACUUCUCUGCUGUCUCAACCACAGACUCGGCGAAAUUGCAGUACGAGUAAAGAUGCUCGUUACGCGCGGCAGGACGAAAAGACCCCGGGACCUUCACUAUAGCUUGGUAUUGGUGUUCGGUUCGGUUUGUGUAGGAUAGGUGGGAGACUGUGAAGCGGGCACGCCAGUGUUCGUGGAGUCGUUGUUGAAAUACCACUCUGAUCGUAUUGGAUACCU
rnacentral:rRNA from 1 species